CCCCGCACACUCACAGCGCGCGCGGUCAUUCAAAAUCAAUACUGUCUGUGUGUUGCAGCUGUGCUAAUGAUGGAUAAACCUCGUGUAACACCAGCUCAUAAAAUAACGGGUAAACAGAAAACGACAGAUGACGAUGAAAAACAAAUAAAAAGGAAAGAAUUUGAUAGAGUCCAAAAUAAAACGAGGGUAAAUAUCGGAGCGGUUUUUCAGAGGUGGAGGGAGCUACGUGUCCUGAAAGGAUUUAAAACCGAUGGCGAGUUAGCCACAUGUCUGCUCGACAAGUAAGUAUCCCUGCAUGAUUUGUUUAAUUUUUUAAGAACUACACAACUAAGAUAAUUUCAAAACAGUCCUGACAAAUUAUGUAUGGCAUGAUUUCUUGUAGAUUUCAGGGUUGUGCUUUGCAUAUAACAUCAACACCAACCAAACAUCCGAUGACUACGCUUCCUAUCCCUGCCCUUUCUAGUAAUGUUGGCGACUCAUCCUCAGAUCGGUAUGAAAAUUAUUGUGAAAGCCUAUAUUACUAAGUUCACUAUGUUGAUUCAGCCUCAGCGGUGUUCAUGGUGUGUUAUUAGAUGUUUGGUCCGAAUGAUUAUGAUAUAUGAUUCAUUGCACAAACAUAAGGACAAUUGAAAAUUAGAGGCAAGUUGGUAGAGACGCAGUUCAUAAAGUACAUUUUAAUCUGUGAUAAAUGUGUGAAAAAUAUGAUAAUGGUUUGAGCUCAAUUAUUUGAUUUUCUACAGUGAUGAUGAUUUUGGGGAGGGUCUGGGCUGCAGUGAAGUUGGGGAGACACCUAUUUGUGUUUUAGAAACAAGUAUGUCAUCGCUCGACAUUAAUGAUGACAUCGAUGAAAAUGACUUCAAUCACAUUCAAAACUCUGUUAUUCACUGGGCUGAGGACAGGACAUGGGCUCCACAUGAGGACACAAGAGAAGUUUAACAUCAGAGGAAGAGGAAACCAUAGAGGAGGCCAGUGACUAUGAUGACAGUGAAGAUGAGGAUUACAUCCCACCUUUAUGUGUUCGGCCAUCAGCUUGGAGGACACUGUUCAUGACACUCUAGACCCAGAGCUAAUAGAAUCCCAACCAGUUCCAGAAAUAAUUAAAAUCCAGAGUGAGGACGACAUUGAUCAUCCUGCAGCCAUCACUUAUCAUGUCUGUUUGAAACAGCUCGCAGAGUAUCUGUUGCUCCCAAUCCCAAUGUGUACAGUGAAAGACCCACUGACAAUGGUGGGAUGUCGGGCCCCUGGACCAUUCCAGAUCCAGACCAAGUCCAGAGGAACAGUCAUCAUGCAAUGGAUCUGUCCAAACAAUCAUUGUGUGUGGCAAUGAAACUCCCAGCCUACUUUCAAGUACGGGAUGCAAGCUGGGGACUUCCUUUUGGCAUCAAAUAUAUUACUAUCUGGCAACAAUUAUGCCAAAGUUGCAUUGCUCUUCAAGUUUAUGAAUAUGGGAAUGGUGGAGCGGACAACCUUCUCUAAAAUACAGGACACAUACUGUGUUGAUACCAUCAAAGACUUCUGGAUCAGCAACAGAGCAGAAGUGGUUUCCAGGCUGCAGUCAAAGGACAAUGUUGUAGUACUUGUCCUGGGUUUUGUGCUCAGUACUGCACCUACACCAUCAUGGAAAAUGACACCAAAGAAAUCCUGUCAAUAGUCAACAUUGACAAGCGAGACACGCAGAGGAAUUCUGGGAUUAUGGAGAGCGAAGGUUUUAUCAGGAGUUUCGACCAGCUCCACCAGGAGGUUAAACUUGCUGAAGUAUGCACAGAUGCACAUUCACAGAUAUCUGCUCUCUUCAACCCAGUCAAAGGAAAAUACAAGCAUAGCGGAGUGCUGCACACUCUGGACAUGUGGCAUGGUUCCAAAAACUUGGGCAAGAAGAUACUUGCUUUAAGUAUUUUAAUAUAUAAAAAUGUACUUCACUAUGGUCAAACUUGUACAUUUUUUUCCUAUAUUUGUAUUUGUUCAUUUUAUUAUUUUGUGUAUAUUUAGGCAGGGCAGCAAAGGGGUUGUUCCAUUCUUCUGCAGUGGAUCAAGGAUGUUUGCAAUCAUUUCUGGUUCUGCUGAAAGAUGGCUGAAAACUAUGAUGACUUUUGGGAGUAAUACUAUUACUCACCCAAAUAUACUAUAUGCAAUUUUCUUUAAUAAUACUUCAACACUCUGGUGUUGUUGAGAUGUGAGAUAAAAAGCAGUUUUGUGUAGAACUUGAUAUUGUUCAUUACUACAUGAGAAAUGUUUUACAGUUAUCAAAUUAAUAAAAAUCCGCUAACAGUGAAACAUGAUGGAUAAAAGGCAACUACUAUACAAAGUGUAUGUUUAAUUAUUCUGAAAAUAAUGUGGAUUGGCCUUCUUCACCAUGUCACGGGAGAGCACGAGUGGUCACUGGAUGCCUGUCAGCAUGGUCCCUUGGAGGAGCACAGAGACAAGGGCUGGAUAGAGAAGGGGUCCGUGGCCCAUCAGGCUUUAUCAGAAAUCAUUCUCAAUGAACGCUGGCUAAAGGACGUACACACGUACUUGCACUUUAGGUCAACCGCUGAGCUGGAGUCUUUUCAUAAUCAUAUCUUAAUGUAAGCCAGCAAGCGCUUUAGUUUCAGCCCGAAUCUUACUGGCUGGCCUGGAUUACAACAACCAUUUUCACAGACCACCCAAGAGAAAGACUGAUGGCUCCAUAGAAUAUCGUAAACUCUAUAAGAAGAUGUCCAGAAAGUGGAGUUUGUAUGCCAUAAAAGAGGAAAAGGACUCCCGUUACAUCCCAGAAAUUCCGAGGGAAAUUGUAAGGAAAUGGGUGUCAUCAGGACGUGGACUCCCUCCACUAAUAACCAUGAGACCAAAUGACCCACGUCAGCAUGGUGUGCUGUCCCACCACACAGGAGCUAUUGGAAACCCAAGUCAGCAGGGGCCAGGGUCAGACAUUGCCCCAGAAAUAGUGGCACGUGAAGAAAUCAUCUUUCAGCAAAAAUCUAAAUGUUAACGUAUUUUAUUGUGCAGGAG